AGUCAGAUUUUGUGGAUACGCAAUGAGGUUAGCAGGGGAAAACGGCUAUCGGAAUUUGCUUCACGAGAACAUUUGUGAAACAUGCAGACGACGAACUCAAAUCAUUGGUGUCUUGCACAGGAUUCUCAGUUCUUUUAUGCUUUGGGAUGUAAAACAGCAACUGGCUGUUUAAAAGGAUGCACGUGACAAGACGUUCCACAUAGGGGAU
ensembl:lncRNA